rnacentral:rRNA from 1 species
AUUGAACGCUGGCGGCAGGCCUAACACAUGCAAGUCGAGCGGAUGAAGGGAGCUUGCUCCUGGAUUCAGCGGCGGACGGGUGAGUAAUGCCUAGGAAUCUGCCUGGUAGUGGGGGAUAACGUCCGGAAACGGGCGCUAAUACCGCAUACGUCCUGAGGGAGAAAGUGGGGGAUCUUCGGACCUCACGCUAUCAGAUGAGCCUAGGUCGGAUUAGCUAGUUGGUGGGGUAAAGGCCUACCAAGACGACGAUCCGUAACUGGUCUGAGAGGAUGAUCAGUCACACUGGAACUGAGACACGGUCCAGACUCCUACGGGAGGCAGCGGUGGGGAAUAUUGGACAAUGGGCGAAAGCCUGAUCCAGCCAUGCCGCGUGUGUGAAGAAGGUCUUCGGAUUGUAAAGCACUUUAAGUUGGGAGGAAGGGCAGUAAGUUAAUACCUUGCUGUUUUGACGUUACCAACAGAAUAAGCACCGGCUAACUUCGUG